UGGGGAAUAUUGCACAAUGGGGGGAAACCCUGAUGCAGCCAUGCCGCGUGUGUGAAGAAGGCCUUCGGGUUGUAAAGCACUUUUGCAUUCGAGGAAGACAGCGUAUAAAUAAAUGCGCUAUUUGACGUUAGAGUGUGAAUAAGCACCGGCAAACUCCGUGCCAGCAGCCGCGGUAAUACGGAGGGUGCAAGCGUUACUCGGAAUCACUGGGCGUAAAGGACGCGUAGGCGGAUUAUCAAGUCUUUGUGAAAUCUAAUGGCUUAACCAUUAAACUGCUUGAGAAACUGAUAAUCUAGAGUGAGGGAGAGGCAGAUG
rnacentral:rRNA from 1 species